rnacentral:lncRNA from 1 species
GUGCUGAUGAUGUUUUCAACCCCUUUUUGAAGCCAUCAACUGUCUGCAAUAUUUGGGUGUUGUGCAGGCUUGGUCUGGAAAUAGCAUCCAGCCUUCAGAAGGCUCUGAUCAGGUGGAAGCUGUUCAAGGGGACCUGUUAACACCAAUUUCCACCAAGCAGGGUUUCUUUCAGAAAUGCUCUUCUGUUUAUCACCAGCUGAUGCCACAUGUGGUCACAGCCCUCAUUGGAUUUGAUUCUUGUUUCAGGGUUGAACAUUGUGAACUGGGUCAAAAUUUACAGCCUGCAAGAGCUGUGGUGGCUUCAGACUAUUCAUGAGCAGGAUGGGAGAAGUCUGCACUUCAUGAGCAGGAUGGGAGAAGUCUGCACUUCAUGAACAGGAUGGGAGAAGUCUGCACUUCAACAAAGGUGGAUAAGCAGAAAAGGCAAAACAGCCUUGAGGAGGGGAAGCUGAUGCAGACUGGAUGCUCAGACACCAAGAUUUUGACAAAUCUUAGAGUCUGGAUGCCUGGGUGGGGAAAAGUUGUGGUGAUGCUGCUGAUGGAGCUCCAGUAGCACAGAUCAGCAGAGGACCCAACCCAUGCAGAGCAGCAGGAACAUCAGUUCCUCCUGUUUCCUUGUGAAAACUGGUGUGAUUCCUCUUGCUGAUGAAGUGGCAAACCCGUCUUCCAGGAUUCCAGCUGGCAUGGUUUGCCUUCACAUGUUUGUGAACACAAAUGAAUUUAGCACCGAGGGACUUGGACACAGACAACGUUUCACCAGCUUAAAGGUGAGGAAAAAGACCUGGGGGCAAAUAGCAGGGAAGCAGAAAGUGGCUGGAGGCAGCUGAGAAUGCCAAGGGGAAUCCAACAUGCUUCACAAAACUGCCACCUGGAUCUGCUGGUCACCAGCACAUGACCCUGAACU